UACGUAGGGUGCAAGCGUUGUCCGGAAUUAUUGGGCGUAAAGAGCUCGUAGGCGGUUUGUCGCGUCUGCUGUGAAAACGCGAGGCUCAACCUCGCGCCUGCAGUGGGUACGGGCAGACUAGAGUGCGGUAGGGGAGAUUGGAAUUCCUGGUGUAGCGGUGGAAUGCGCAGAUAUCAGGAGGAACACCGGUGGCGAAGGCGGUGGUCUGGGCCGGAACUGACGCUGAGGAGCGAAAGCGUGGGGAGCGAACAGG
rnacentral:rRNA from 1 species